AGUGAACGCUGGCGGUAGGCCUAACACAUGCAAGUCGAACGGCAGCACAGAGGAGCUUGCUCCUUGGGUGGCGAGUGGCGGACGGGUGAGGAAUACAUCGGAAUCUACUCUGUCGUGGGGGAUAACGUAGGGAAACUUACGCUAAUACCGCAUACGACCUACGGGUGAAAGCAGGGGAUCUUCGGACCUUGCGCGAUUGAAUGAGCCGAUGUCGGAUUAGCUAGUUGGCGGGGUAAAGGACCACCAAGGCGACGAUCCGUAGCUGGUCUGAGAGGAUGAUCAGCCACACUGGAACUGAGACACGGUCCAGACUCCUACGGGAGGCAGCAGUGGGGAAUAUUGGACAAUGGGCGCAAGCCUGAUCCAGCCAUACCGCGUGGGUGAAGAAGGCCUUCGGGUUGUAAAGCCCUUUUGUUGGGAAAGAAAUCCAGCUGGUUAAUACCCGGUUGGGAUGACGGUACCCAAAGAAUAAGCACCGGCUAACUUCGUGCCAGCAGCCGCAGUAAUAC
rnacentral:rRNA from 1 species